UGAAACAAGUCAUUUCCUUAACAAACCUUUGUCUUUGCCUUUCUAAAGACCCUUGAUUAAAAUGAGCUCCAAGAACCCCAACAUUCAAAAGUCCAUUUGUCCUACAAGGCCCCCUCCAAAUGGCACUAGUUCAAAUUCUUCAAGCUCUGGGGGUAAGAAGGCCCCAACCGCGAAGGAUAUAUUUUAUCCCAAGAAUAGAUGAUUUCAAAUGAAAAGGUUUACGUGGAAGGGCCAAUAUUGGAAGCAUUAAUACUAAAAAGAACAGAAGCAUUUAUACCAAAUAGUCACUUUUCGUUACUUUAUAUUUGUUAUUUUCCUUGUUCCUGUACUUAGGGUUCCUAUAUGUCAUGCUUCCAAUAAUGGGGAUUAAAGUUGCACAGUUUAUAAUCUCUAUUUAUGUAGGGAAUACUGUGCUAUUAUUUAUUUUUUUAUUUGUGCUAGCUAUAGUACUACUCAUCAAAAUGUUGAGCAAUAAAGUGGUAUACAGAAUUUGAAAUGAAGUUAAUGUUUUUUUGUUCCUUAA